CCUACGGGGAGCAGCAGUGGGGAAUAUUGGGCAAUGGGCGCAAGCCUGACCCAGCAACGCCGCGUGAAGGAAGAAGGCUUUCGGGUUGUAAACUUCUUUUGUCAGGGACGAAGCAAGUGACGGUACCUGACGAAUAAGCCACGGCUAACUACGUGCCAGCAGCCGCGGUAAUACGUAGGUGGCAAGCGUUAUCCGGAUUUAUUGGGUGUAAAGGGCGUGUAGGCGGGAAUGCAAGUCAGAUGUGAAAACUAUGGGCUCCACCCAUAGCCUGCAUUUGAAACUGUUAUUCUUGAGGGCUGGGAGGGCCAUCGGAAAUUCGUGGGGAGCGGUGAAAUGCGUAGAUAUACGGAGGAACACCAGUGGCGAAGGCGGAUUGCUGGACAGUAACUGACGCUGAGGCGCGAAAGCGUGGGGAGCAAACAGGAUUAGAUACCCGUGUAGUC
rnacentral:rRNA from 1 species